rnacentral:lncRNA from 1 species
AUAGAAGACAGAAGAAAUCUCCGGUUGUUUUACAAAUGACUGUAUGACACCUUACCUGACUGCCUCAUUUUAAACAUCAUCCCCCAUCUUUGUUCUUAUUACCUUUUCCUGCCUUAUUUUAUUUCACCUGGGAUUAUAUAAAUCAUAUUAUAUAUCUGUAGAAAAUCAUUACAUAUUUACAUUUGUUUUUCUGCUUGCUUAUUGAUUGAUUGCCUUCACUGCCAGAAUGUAAGCCUAGACUAGGUAUUUUUGUGUUUCUUUCCGGCCAUAUUCACAGCCCCUUGGAUAGGAUCUAGCAUAUACUAGGUACUAAAGAAAUAUUUGUUUAGUUAAUAUGAAUGAAUGAAAGAACUGCCUUCAGAAAAAAAAAGUAGGUAGUGAAAAAUGAUUUCAAUUCACUAAAAAAAAAAACGAUAAUUGUAUCAGUUGAAUUAUUUUUGGCAUAAUAUAUGAUUCAGUGUGAGCAAUAUGUAAUUUUUGCUUAAAAAAUGAAAAUGUUGGCAUAGAGUUUGAAGUGAUUUGUUGUUAGGAGUGGGGAUGAGGAUCUGAUGUUUGUAUCUUGUCACAAGGAAACUUAGCAGCAAGUCUUCUGUUAAAUACUCAUUAGAUGCUCCUUAAGCAUCAUUGACUGGUCACAUUUCACAGUAACUGAUUUUCUCGAUCACCUCCAGUGAAGCAAUGAAUCCAUCCAAUGAAGUUCUGCCCACAUGUGCAUCUAAGAAGAAUAUGGACCUUUCUGGAGAGCUUAAUUGAAGCAACUGUGUUCCUUGAAAUGGCAUUCUUGAUUGAGAGCCCACAGGAUUCCUGAAUUUUAAAUCGAAGCUCCUGGUGACUCAGACUUUAAUUGGACACACCUCUUGGCUCAGACUAUUGAUAAUUAGUCCAUUAAACAUUAAGGAACUCUACACCUUCAAGCCUUCAAAAUACUACGGCAGCAAUAGAGAAGGGAAAUCGUCAACAAAGAUUAAUUGCCAGUGUCAUAGCCAAGCUGUGGUUCAACAUCUGAUUCUGCAGAGUAUAUCUUCUGUCUCCGCAUUAAAGGUAGCAGGCAUAAGGGAAAAGAGUCAUGAAAACGACCCAACUUCUGAAAGUCUCAGCAUUUGA